rnacentral:rRNA from 1 species
GGAAUUUUCGGCAAUGGGGGGAACCCUGACCGAGCAACGCCGCGUGAACGAAGAAGUUAUUCGUAAUGUAAACUUCUUUUCUCAGGGACGAAGCAAGUGACGGUACCUGAGGAAUAAGCCACGGCUAACUACGUGCCAGCAGCCGCGGUAAUACGUAGGUGGCAAGCGUUAUCCGGAUUUACUGGGUGUAAAGGGCGUGUAGGCGGGACUGCAAGUCAGAUGUGAAAACCACGGGCUCAACCUGUGGCCUGCAUUUGAAACUGUAGUUCUUGAGUACUGGAGAGGCAGACGGAAUUCCUAGUGUAGCGGUGAAAUGCGUAGAUAUUAGGAGGAACACCAGUGGCGAAGGCGGUCUGCUGGACAGCAACUGACGCUGAGGCGCGAAAGCGUGGGGAGCAAACAG